CGUUGGAAUGUUUUACUUCAAACUGUAGUCGCCAUUUUUACUCGCGCAUAGUAGCAAUUGUUCAGUUUAAUGCCCAAGCUGGCAUAACUAGUAAUGUAACGAUUAAAAGAGGACAUGCGGGGUACGAGCUCGUUGAAGUCUGACAUGUCAGCGGUAAUGAUGAGUGCCAUGUGUUUCUGUGCAUGAGCCGUUUGCCGUACCAAAAUUGUGUUUUCGUUCUGGCGUGCAUACACAAUGGAGUUGUGCAUUUUGGAGGUAUUUAGGAACAUGGGCAGCAGUCGUAGCAAAAAUCGAUACACUAUAGGGAAGAUACGAUGGAAGCAUUUUGAACAGGGAAGUACUUACAACCAUUGCAUGGGCUGGAUUUGGCGUGUAUGGGUGUUCUUGCGCAAUUUCGUGCCCCAAGUUUUCAUUUAGCGAUCACUUAGUGCAAACCAUAGGCGUGCGCACAAAGGGCCCCAAAUGCGAAACCCUGUGCACGCCUAUGAGUGAAACAGUGUAGCUGCUUAUACCAGCGUAAAUGUAUGUAUUGUUUUCUGCAUAUGAAUGGCAAAAAGGGAUUUUGAGCAUAUCUGCAGCGCUAUUUUGUAUUGCUCCUCAUUGCAGGUGUGCAACUCGGAACUUUGCAUCCUUGUUGUGGACCUCCGGCUCCCUGAUUCGGGCCACGACUCUUGGAUGUGGCAGCAUAAUCCACUGUGUACGCGCCUCGCCGCACAACUGCAGCCUGGCGAGUCUCUGCUUGGUGGCCAGCUACGACUAGUGCCAGGGAGCGCACCUUCUCCAGUAUGCCCUCCUGAGCCGCUGCCGUCCUCUCUGCCGCGAUGGCGAGCCGGGUGGUGGAUUGUUCGAUCCUUCGCAGCACCUGAAAUGAAUAAUUGUGGUGGAAUUGUUCAUAUGAGUUGCUGAUUACUCGCAACCAGCUCAUCGCUGGAAGCUGUUGUUGUCAAGAAUUGCAACGUGCACAACAAUUGCCCACCUCCCUCGCUGUAGCCACUGUAGUGUCUAUCCUCCUAACACAUCACAUAUCCUAUGGCAAUGCCAUCCAAAACUACCCCCCUUACCCAAACCUUCAUCCCUCCCAUCUACCCCUUCCUCCGAGUGGCUGACCGCCGCAACCACCCUUCACGACCAACGAUUCCUUGGGGACUUCAUCGGCCUAGCGCUGAAGCAUGCCGCAAGCGACGCCCUGGACUCAGGGCACUGAUGCAUUUUUUAUCGCAGAAUAAAAAAAAGUGAUUUC